CCAGCCGUCGGCUUCCCCUUUCUAAAUCAUUCCUCAAUUCCCAACUCAACAACCUUACUGGAGGAGAAAAUCGGCGGCUUCCUCCUCCUCGGCGGAAAUCGCCGACUCCCCCGGCGAUUUUGUCGCCCAUCUCCCGUUUCCCACCGCCAUCUCCUCCUGCGUCUCUCUCUCUUCUCUAUUUCUCAUUUCUUUUGCGAAAAUUAGAAGAUCCCCAAAUUUCAAGUUCUGAAAUUUCCAAAUUGAACGAAGGCAGUGGCGGUUUCUCCUCCGCUUCGUUCACAGCCCUCUCUCCGUUCACCUCCGUAGCCGGCGUAUCAACUGUCGCGCCGGUGGCUGCUGUUCGGCAGCCGUGCACUCCCGGGUCGUCGCCGAAGGGUUAGGCCACAGCAGGAGUCGCAGCGCGGUUCGCCGUGCUGCACACCGCAGUCGUUGUCGCCAUCCCUGCUCCCGUCGCCCUCGUCGUCGCUGCUGUCCGAGCGUGAUUCGAGGCGCGCCACCACCGCCUCGCGCUAUGCUCCAGCGGCGUGGCAGCCUCCUCGCGAUUAAGCUAAGUCUCGGUUUAAAUUCUAAAUUUCCGUCUUAGACUAGAUUCUCAGUUCUGAGCAUGUGGCAGAAAGAACAAUCUGGACUUUUGGAUUACAGUUUUGAGCUUAAUUCUGAUGGUGAGGGGUUAAUGUUACUUGAAGGAACUUGUGUAAACUUGAUGCUUUCUAUAUUUUUUUUUGUUCCUACAUGAUGUCAACGAGAAGACUUGGGUGGAGAGCAUGAUUACCUGUUGUGGUGUUAUGGAAAAAGCUCCCCCCUUGCUGCCUAGUUCUCGGCUCCUCACGGUAUAGGAGUAUGCUGAUUUCUUUGAUGUGGUGGAAUGAUGUUCGAUGUGUAUGAGAGAGGGGUUUUGGAGGUGGUGCGGGGGUUCUUAUAGGAAGAAAGGGUGUACUCGUGGGGUUUUAAUUGGCUGCUGCAUUCUUGGUGCACAAAGAUGGCAGAGGAGGGUACUGCAACUCUCGGCAGUAGCAGGCGCCACCAAGGCUGUGCAAUGGCUGAAAUCUGAGGUCCAAUUCAGCUGGAAAGGGGCUGAUUAUGCAGCUUUCGGUUAAAGCUGGGGUGUUGCCACUCAUCUUUCCUAUUUUGCGACGCACCACGCUAGUUAACGAAAAUUCUGCCCUUCGCGACACGGCUCGUGGCCUUUGGCCCGAUGGCCGAUCGAGACACGGCAUGGCGUGGCUUAGCCCGAUAAGAUUGGCUAUUGCUUAUCUCUUUUUUUAAGACCUCAUACUUCUCUAUUUGUAACUUAAACUCUUCGUGUAUUGCAUUGUAGUUAGUUUGCGACGCACUUAUGUUCUACAUUUUCUUUCUUGUACUAAAUCAACACGUUUACUGUGGAAAAAGGAAUAAUGGCGUGCGUA